GACGAACGCUGGCGGCGUGCUUAACACAUGCAAGUCGAACGGAAAGGCCCUGCUUUUGUGGGGUGCUCGAGUGGCGAACGGAUGAGUAACACGUGAGUAACCUGCCCUUGACUUUGGGAUAACUUCAGGAAACUGGGGCGAAUACCGGAUAGGAGCUCCUGCUGCAUGGUGGGGGUGGGAAAGUUUCGGCGGUUGGGGAUGGACUCGCGGCUUAUCAGCUUGUUGGUGGGGUAGUGGCUUACCAAGGCUUUGACGGGUAGCCGGCCUGAGAGGGUGACCGGCCACAUUGGGACUGAGAUACGGCCCAGACUCCUACGGGAGGCAGCAGUGGGGAAUAUUGCACAAUGGGCGGAAGCCGUAUGCAGCAACGCCGCGUGCGGGAUGACGGCCUUCGGGUUGUAAACCGCUUUCGCCUGUGACGAAGCGUGAGUGACGGUAAUGGGUAAAGAAGCACCGGCUAACUACGUG
rnacentral:rRNA from 1 species